rnacentral:rRNA from 1 species
GUCUGGGAUAUACGUAGGAAACCGCGGGUAAUACCAGAUGUGACUUCUUUACCGCAUGGUAGAGAAAUUAAAGGUUUUUCGCUUCAAGAGGGGUUCAUGGCCUGUCAGGUAGUUGGGGGGGUAAAGGCUCACCAAGCCGACGACGGGUAGCGGGUCUGAGAGGAUGAUCCGCUCGAGUGGGACUGAGACACGGCCCACACACCUACGGGUGGCAGCAGUUGGGAAUCUUGCGCAAUGGGGGAAACCCUGACGCAGCGACGUCGCGUGGAGGAUGAAGGAUUUAGGUCUGUAAACUCCUUUUUCAGGGAAAGACUUAGGACGGUACCCUGAGAAUAAGCACCGGCUAACUACGUGCCAGCAGCCGCGGUAAGACGUAGGGUGCAAGCGUUGUCCGGAUUUACUGGGCGUAAAGGGCGCGUAGGCGGUCUGUUAAGUGUAGAGUGAAAUCUCCAGGGCUCAACCCGGAAACUGCUCUGCAUACUGGCAGACUUGAGGGACGAAGAGGUAUGUGGAAUUCCUGGUGUAGCGGUGAAAUGCGUUGAUAUCAGGAGGAACACCCAUGGCGAAGGCAGCAUACUGGUCGUUUCCUGACGCUGAGGCGCGAAAGCGUGGGUAGCAAACAGGAUUAGAUACCCUGGUAGUCCACGCCCUAAACGAUGGAUACUAGGCGUAGGAGGUAUCGACCCCUCCUGUGCCGCAGCUAACGCAUUAA